AGCGAACGCUGGCGGCAGGCUUAACACAUGCAAGUCGAGCGGGCAUCUUCGGAUGUCAGCGGCAGACGGGUGGGUAACACGGGGGAACGUACCCUUCGGUUCGGAACAACUCUGGGAAACUGGAGCUAAUACCGGAGACGCCCUUAUGGGGAAAGGUUUACUGCCGAAGGAUCGGCCCGCGUCUGAUUAGCUAGUUGGUGGGGUAACGGCCUACCAAGGCGACGAUCAGUAGCUGGUCUGAGAGGAUGAUCAGCCACACUGGGACUGAGACACGGCCCAGACUCCUACGGGAAGCAGCAGUGGGGAAUAUUGGACAAUGGGCGCAAGCCUGAUCCAGCCAUGCCGCGUGAGUGAUGAAGGCCUUAGGGUUGUAAAGCUCUUUUGUCCGGGACGAUAAUGACGGUACCGGAAGAAUAAGCCCCGGCUAACUUCGUG
rnacentral:rRNA from 1 species